rnacentral:rRNA from 1 species
GUUGGGUGUUAUGGGCACACGGUGGUUGCCUUGGCAUUAUGAGCCGAUGAAGGACGUGUUAGGCCGCGAUAGGCCUCGGGGAGUUGCCAAUAGUGCGUUGAUCCGAGGGUGUCCGAAUGGGGAAACCUGGCCAUGGUUAUGUGUGGUUUCCCAUCAGUGAAUUCAUAGCUGGUGUGGGGGUUGCGCGGGGUAGUGAAACAUCUCAUUACCAGUAGGUGAAGUAAAUUAUUAGUGAUUCUUCUAGUAGUGG